rnacentral:rRNA from 1 species
GACGAACGCUGGCGGCGUGCCUAACACAUGCAAGUCGAGCGGUAAGGCCCCUUCGGGGGUACGACGAGCGGCGAACGGGUGAGUAACACGUGGGUGACCUGCCCUCAGCUCUGGGAUAAGCCUGGGAAACUGGGUCGUAAUACCGGAUAUGACUCCAUGACGCAUGUCGUGGGGUGGAAAGCCUUGUGCGGCUGGGGAUGGGCCCGCGGCCUAUCAGCUUGUUGGUGGGGUGAUGGCCUACCAAGGCGACGACGGGUAGCCGGCCUGAGAGGGCGACCGGCC